GGGCCGGUAGCUCAGUUUGGUAGAGCACCUGACUUUUAAUCAGGGUGUCCUGGGUUCGAGUCCCAGUCGGCCCA
rnacentral:tRNA from 1 species